GAUAAAAUAAGCUAAGUUCAAGCUAUUGGGCUCAUACCCCGAAAAUGGAUUCCCCCCUUUUAUCA
rnacentral:tRNA from 1 species